UGGGGAAUAUUGCGCAAUGGGCGAAAGCCUGACGCAGCGACGCCGCGUGGGUGAUGAAGGCCUUCGGGUCGUAAAGCCCUGUCGGGAGGGAAGAAACAGUCUGGACCUAAUACGUCCGGGAAUUGACGGUACCUCCUAAGGAAGCACCGGCUAACUCCGUGCCAGCAGCCGCGGUAAUACGGAGGGUGCGAGCGUUAAUCGGAAUUACUGGGCGUAAAGCGUGCGUAGGCGGCCUGCCAAGUCAGAUGUGAAAGCCCUGGGCUCAACCUGGGAACGGCAUUUGAAACUGGCAGGCUCGAGUUGGGUAGAGGCAGGCGGAAUUCCGGGUGUAGCGGUGAAAUGCGUAGAUAUCCGGAGGAACACCAGUGGCGAAGGCGGCCUGCUGGGCCCAAACUGACGCUGAGGCACGAAAGCGUGGGUAGCAAACAGGAUUAGAUACCCAAGUAGUCCCUGAGCGGGCUGGCAAGGCGCAU
rnacentral:rRNA from 1 species